rnacentral:rRNA from 1 species
AACGAACGCUGGCGGCGUGCUUAACACAUGCAAGUCGAACGGAAAGGCCCUGCUUUUGUGGGGUGCUCGAGUGGCGAACGGGUGAGUAACACGUGAGUAACCUGCCCUGACUUUGGGAUAACUUCAGGAAACUGGGGCUAAUACCGGAUAGGAGCUCCUGCUGCAUGGUGGGGGUUGGAAAGUUUCGGCGGUUGGGGAUGGACUCGCGGCUUAUCAGCUUGUUGGUGGGGUAGUGGCUUACCAAGGCUUUGACGGGUAGCCGGCCUGAGAGGGUGACCGGCCACAUUGGGACUGAGAUACGGCCCAGACUCCUACGGGAGGCAGCAGUGGGGAAUAUUGCACAAUGGGCGGAAGCCUGAUGCAGCAACGCCGCGUGCGGGAUGACGGCCUUCGGGUUGUAAACCGCUUUCGCCUGUGACGAAGCGUGAGUGACGGUAAUGGGUAAAGAAGCACCGGCUAACUACGUG